rnacentral:rRNA from 1 species
GUAGUCCACGCCGUAAACGAUGAGUGCUAAGUGUUAGGGGGUUUCCGCCCCUUAGUGCUGCAGCUAACGCAUUAAGCACUCCGCCUGGGGAGUACGGUCGCAAGACUGAAACUCAAAGGAAUUGACGGGGGCCCGCACAAGCGGUGGAGCAUGUGGUUUAAUUCGAAGCAACGCGAAGAACCUUACCAGGUCUUGACAUCCCAUUGACCGUCAUGGAGACAUGGCUUUCCCUUCGGGGACAGUGGUGACAGGUGGUGCAUGGUUGUCGUCAGCUCGUGUCGUGAGAUGUUGGGUUAAGUCCCGCAACGAGCGCAACCCUUGUUCUUAGUUGCCAUCAUUUAGUUGGGCACUCUAAGGAGACUGCCGGUGACAAACCGGA